rnacentral:rRNA from 1 species
GGAAUAUUGGGCAAUGGGCGCAAGCCUGACCCAGCGACGCCGCGUGAGGGAUGAAGGCCUUCGGGUUGUAAACCUCUUUCAGUAGGGAAGAAGCGAAAGUGACGGUACCUAAAGAAGAAGCACCGGCUAACUAUGUGCCAGCAGCCGCGGUAAUACAUAGGGUGCAAGCGUUGUCCGGAAUUAUUGGGCGUAAAGAGCUCGUAGGUCGUUUGCCGCGUCGAUUGUGAAAAUCUGAGGCUCAACCUCAGACCUGCAGUCGAUACGGGCAAACUAGAGUGUGGUAGGGGAGACUGGAAUUCCUGGUGUAGCGGUGGAAUGCGCAGAUAUCAGGAGGAACACCAAUGGCGAAGGCAGGUCUCUGGGCCAUAACUGACACUGAGGAGCGAAAGCGCGGGGAGCGAACAGGAUUAGAUACCCUGGUAGUCCGCGCCGUAAACGAUGAGCACUAGCUGUGAGAGCCUUCCACGGUUCUCGCGACGCAGCAAACGCAUUAAGUGCCCCGCCUGGGGAGUACGAUCGCAAGAUUAAAACUCAAAUGAAUUGACGG